rnacentral:rRNA from 1 species
CUACGUGCCAGCAGCCGCGGUAAUACGUAUGUCACGAGCGUUAUCCGAAUUUAUUGGGCGUAAAGCGCGUCUAGGUGGUUAUAUAAGUCUGAUGUGAAAAUGCAGGGCUCAACUCUGUAUUGCGUUGGAAACUGUAUAACUAGAGUACUGGAGAGGUAAGCGGAACUACAAGUGUAGAGGUGAAAUUCGUAGAUAUUUGUAGGAAUGCCGAUGGGGAAGCCAGCUUACUGGACAGAUACUGACGCUGAAGCGCGAAAGCGUGGGUAGCAAACAGGAUUAGAUACCCUGGUAGUCCACGCUGUAAACGAUGAUUACUAGGUGUUGGGGGUCGAACCUCAGCGCCCAAGCAAACGCGAUAAGUAAUCCGCCUGGGGAGUACGUACGCAAGUAUGAAACUCAAAGGAAUUGACGGGGACCCGCACAAGCGGUGGAGCAUGUGAUUUAAUUCGACGCAACGCGAGGAACCUUACCAGCGUUUGACAUC